UUUAAAAUUUAAUGUAAAUAAAAAACCAUAAAAAUUUAAAAGUUAUUAUUAUUUAAUUUACCUUUUGUAUCAGGAUUUAUUAAAUAUAAAAUUUUAAUAUAAAUUAAUCUCGAAUUAAAAAGAACUAAUUUAUUAUAAUAAUUAAUAUAACAAAAUUACUAUAAAUAUUAAAUUAGAAAUGAAAUACUAAACGAUUUUUAAGAUAUCUAGUUUUUUUAAAAAUGAAUUUAAUUCAUAUUUUUAUUAAUUUAUUUUAUUCAAAUAAAUUGAAUUUAAUAAAUAAUCUAAAAAUAAAUAUUUUAAGGAAAACCUUUAAAAUAAAUUUUAAAAUAUUAAUAUUUAAAUAAAUUAUUAUUUAAAAAUUCAAUCCUAAUAAUAGACUAAUUAACAUAAAUAUUAUAAUUUAUUAAUACUAUAUAUAUAUAUAUAAUUUAAUAUUAAAUAUUUAAAACAAUUAUAAAAAAAUUAUUAUAAACAUGUAAUAAUAAUAUAUAAUGAUAAAAUUAAUAAUUUUAAAAUAAAUAUAUCAAAUAUUAACAAAUAUUAAUAUAUUAAAUUAAGGAACUCGGCAAAAUAUAGUUAUAUUUACUUAUAUAAUUCAUAAAUCCACCUGUUUAUCAAAAACAUGUCUUUAAGAUUAUAAUUUAAAGUUUCCUCUGCCCUAUGAAAAUUUUUAAAUGGCCGCAGUAUCCUGACUGUGCUAAGGUAGCAUAAUAAAUUGACUUAUAAUUUAAGCCUAGAAUGAACGAGUAAAUGAGAUUUAAACUGUCUCAAUUUAAUAAAAUAAACUUAAUCAUUAAGUAAAAAUACUUAAAUAAAAUUAAAAGACGAGAAGACCCUGUAGAAUUUUAUAUUUCUAAAUAUUAAUAUUCCAACAAUAAAAAUAAUUAAUACUUAAAAAUAUUUAAUUGGGAAGAUUAAAAAAUUAAAAUAACUUUUUUCAUACUUACAUAAAUUAAUGAAUAAAUAUUUAUGAUCUAUAUAAUUAUAAUCAUUAGAGAUAAUUACCUCAGGGAUAACAGCGCAAUAUUUUUUAAAAGAUCAUAUUUAAAAAAAUGUUUACGACCUCGAUGUUGAAUUAAGAUAAAAAUUAAGAGUAUAAACUUAAUAUUUAAGUCUGUUCGACUUUUAAAAUCUUACAUGAUUUGAGUUCAGAUCGACGUAAGUCAGAUCGGUUUCUAUCUUUAAUAAAUAAAUUAUAUUAUUGUACGAAAGGACCCAAUAUAAUUAAUAAUUAAAUAAAAUAGAAUAAAAAUAAAUUUCAAUAAAUUUUAUAAA
rnacentral:rRNA from 1 species